AGAGUUUGAUCCUGGCUCAGGAUGAACGCUGGCGGCGUGCCUAAUACAUGCAAGUAGAACGCUGAAGCUUGGUGCUUGCACCGAGCGGAUGAGUUGCGAACGGGUGAGUAACGCGUAGGUAACCUGCCUCUUAGCGGGGGAUAACUAUUGGAAAUGAUAGCUAAUACCGCAUAAAAGACGAUAUCGCAUGAUAUUGAUUUGAAAGGUGCAAAUGCAUCACUAAGAGAUGGACCUGCGUUGUAUUAGCUAGUUGGUGAGGUAACGGCUCACCAAGGCAACGAUACAUAGCCGACCUGAGAGGGUGAUCGGCCACACUGGGACUGAGACACGGCCCAGACUCCUACGGGAGGCAGCAGUAGGGAAUCUUCGGCAAUGGGGGCAACCCUGACCGAGCAACGCCGCGUGAGUGAAGAAGGUUUUCGGAUCGUAAAGCUCUGUUGUAAGAGAAGAACGAGUGUGAGAGUGGAAAGUUCACACUGUGACGGUAACUUACCAGAAAGGGACGGCUAACUACGUGCCAGCAGCCGCGGUAAU
rnacentral:rRNA from 1 species